rnacentral:tRNA from 2 species
GCCGGGGUAGCUCAGCGGUAGAGCACGCGGCUGAAAACCGCGGUGUCGGCGGUUCGACUCCGCCCCCCGGCACCA